CCUGCCCCUGACUCUGGGAUAAGCGCUGGAAACGGCGUCUAAUACUGGAUACGAGACGUGAUCACAUGGUCAACGUUUGGAAAGAUUUUUCGGUUGGGGAUGGGCUCGCGGCCUAUCAGCUUGUUGGUGAGGUAAUGGCUCACCAAGGCGUCGACGGGUAGCCGGCCUGAGAGAGGUGACCGGCCACACUGGGACUGAGACACGGCCCAGACUCCUACGGGAGGCAGCAGUGGGGAAUAUUGCACAAUGGGCGCAAGCCUGAUGCAGCAACGCCGCGUGAGGGAUGACGGCCUUCGGGUUGUAAACCUCUUUUAGCAGGGAAGAAGCGAGAGUGACGGUACCUGCAGAAAAAGCACCGGCUAACUACGUGCCAGCAGCCGCGGUAAUACGUAGGGUGCAAGCGUUAUCCGGAAUUAUUGGGCGUAAAGAGCUCGUAGGCGGUUUGUCGCGUCUGCUGUGAAAUCUGGGGGCUCAACCCCCAGCCUGCAGUGGGUACGGGCAGACUAGAGUGCGGUAGGGGAGAUUGGAAUUCCUGGUGUAGCGGUGGAAUGCGCAGAUAUCAGGAGGAACACCGAUGGCGAAGGCAGAUCUCUGGGCCGUAACUGACGCUGAGGAGCGAAAGGGUGGGGAGCAAACAGGCUUAGAUACCCUGGUAGUCCACCCCGUAAACGUUGGGAACUAGUUGUGGGGUCCAUUCCACGGAUUCCGUGACGCAGCUAACGCAUUAAGUUCCCCGCCUGGGGAGUACGGCCGCAAGGCUAAAACUCAAAGGAAUUGACGGGGACCCGCACAAGCGGCGGAGCAUGCGGAUUAAUUCGAUGCAACGCGAAGAACCUUACCAAGGCUUGACAUAUACGAGAACGGGCCAGAAAUGGUCAACUCUUUGGACACUCGUAAACAGGUGGUGCAUGGUUGUCGUCAGCUCGUGUCGUGAGAUGUUGGGUUAAGUCCCGCAACGAGCGCAACCCUCGUUCUAUGUUGCCAGCACGUAAUGGUGGGAACUCAUGGGAUACUGCCGGGGUCAACUCGGAGGAAGGUGGGGAUGACGUCAAAUCAUCAUGCCCCUUAUGUCUUGGGCUUCACGCAUGCUACAAUGGCCGGUACAAUGGGCUGCAAUACCGUGAGGUGGAGCGAAUCCCAAAAAGCCGGUCCCAGUUCGGAUUGAGGUCUGCAACUCGACCUCAUGAAGUCGGAGUCGCUAGUAAUCGCAGAUCAGCAACGCUGCGGUGAAUACGUUCCCGGGUCUUGUACACACCGCCCGUCAAGUCAUGAAAGUCGGUAACACCUGAAGCCGGUGGCCUAACCCC
rnacentral:rRNA from 1 species